AAUAAGUGCAGUUUUGCACUAUUUACGUUCAAUGUUUGACCGUCCGUCUUAUUUGAAAAAUUUGUGAAAAAAUUAAAAACAUUUAGUCACACAUAAAGUACUAUUCAUGUUUUAUCAUCUAAUAGCAAUAAAAAUACUAAUCAUAAAAAAUUUUCAAAUAAGACGGACGGUCAAACGUUGAACAUGAAUAGUGCAAAACUGCACUUAUU
rnacentral:pre_miRNA from 1 species